AAUGAAGAAUAAUCGCCUUAAAUAAAUGGAAUCAAACAUUACAAUGUGCACCAGAUGGUACCGGAAUCAUUGACAAAUAUGUAUAAUCCAUUCAUUCAUUUGCUUCCUAAUUUAAAUUAAUCGCAAAGUAUGUUUAAGUCAAUCUUCGUUAUGGAUGCUUCAUACAUAUUCAAACAACUUCUCCCAUUGUUUUUAGUCACCAUCUAAUGGUUAUAAGCAACUUGGGAUUAUCUACGCUGGAUAGAACUCUUGAGAAUUAUGCCGCAAGAGGUAGGCCGCCAUUUGACAUAGCAUCAGAGAUGUUACAGCUAGGCUGCCAUAACACAUAUACAAGUUACUACCGUGGUAAUGAGAUGGCGAAGAUGUAGGGCAGUUUGGCUUUGGCUACAUACCACGUAAACACUGACACAGCGGCGACCAAGCCUGCAGCUAUGAGAAAAGCUAAGAAUGUGAAGAGAAUUUUUAUGAAAACUUAUCAAUUCUAAGAAGUUUGUGCAUGAACGCAGUUGAUCGACGCAUGAUUAACUAAAAUGCAUGCAGUAUGAUUGCACGCUCACGUGUUAUCGUGCACGUGUAUAUAUAAGUGAGUGUCUAAGGAUGUGUAACAUCAUCUAUCUAUCUGUAUGUAAAUUGAAGUUAAGAGCCUGCGAGCUAAAUCCAGAAUUAUGUAUGUUUGCUGUUUUUAUAGUGAGUUGUUUAUAAACACAAUGAUAUUAAUGACAUUGAGUAUAAUUAAAUAAUAACCAUAACACUUGAAAGGUGAAGAAUAAUUAAUGAGAAGAAUUAAAGUCAGUGAUGGAAAAAUUUA